rnacentral:lncRNA from 1 species
AAAUAAAUAUUAUGAAAGAAGAAGUUUGGAGUAAAUAACGUACAAAAUAUUUUAAAAAACGAAACAUCUAUUUAAAGUUGAUGGUAUACAUAUAAUGGAAAAAAACAAUUCAAAUAAUAUAUAAAAAGAUAAUAAUAUAUAAAAGGAUUUUAAAUAAUGAAGAUAUAUAAUAAAAUAUUUUUUAAGGAAUGAACUAUAUACAUAAUAGAUUUGAAAAGAAAUAGAUAUACCUAAAUAGAUUUAAAAUAUAUAUAUACAUAAAAAACAAAAUGAGAUUGAUAAUGUACAUAGAAUAAAGCUAAUUUUAAUAUAAACUAUAUAUAUAAUGUAAAGGUAAUUUAAACUAUAUAUAUAAACAGCACCCAGGUGCGGACAAAAUUGGAAUGGCGUGCAAACUUCAGGGAAAAAAAUGAAAGAAACAAAAUAGGAUUAAAUUAAAGGUGGUGCAAAUGGGAGGGACUAGCCGCGCAAAUUACCCAUUUAAGGUGAAAAUGAGCAGAUCCAACCUAUGGAUCAGUCAACGCGCGGGUUUUUCUUCCCCCCCUUAAUUGCGCUGCUUUAAAAUUUAAUAUAACUUUUAUUAUAGAUAUAUAUUUUAAAAGCUUACAAAUCCACUUUUUUAAGCAAAAACCCUCAAAAUUCCUAACCCUUUCAGCUAAGGUUUCAAUCUAUAAACUUGCAGCAGCCGAACCACCACCAUAUUCGGUGGCCGACAGCGUGCAGAUGAUGGCCUGAACUUGCCAACGACGGAGAACUUUGACUAUGCCCAUGGAGAUUUGGUAAGUGUAUUCUCCUUUUCUUCUUUAUAUUAAAAAAAAACUUCAAAUCCUAUGUUUUUUUUCAAAAAAAAGAAGCAAGAUUCAAAGAAUGUAAAGGAUUUCAAUACCAUUCGACCCUCGCCCGAACCUUCCUGCUUCUAAGGUGUUUGGGAGCUCAUCGGCAUCAAUUUAGGUAACCUUUUUUCAUUUUUCCAAGCUAAAAAUUCCAAACAAAUCAAAAGGGAAAAAAACUUAAAAGAAAGGAAACAGAAUUUAAAAUCACCUUUUGAUAUUUUUUUUGAUUGCCUUUUCUGGUAUUCAGUAUGCGUAAUUUUUACAGUACAAUCCUUGCCUUUUAUAGUUGAUUUACAGAAUAAAUAAAAAAUAUUAGGAAAAAAAACUUGAAUUUUUGCUGUCAUUUGCUGGCUUAUUUCUGUUAUCUUUUCUUUUCUCGCAGGUUCUAUGGAGACCUUACGGAAGUGUGGGACUAUGGAUGUGGCACUGUGUACGGCGAUGGAGAGGUCGCUCGCGGGCAACUGCGCAAGGCCUUUGCUAGGGUUUCAGUUUCUAAACCAAAAUUUGAGUCGUUUGGGCCUGUUUUUAGGACUAGGUCGGGUUUCGGUUGGGUUUUGGGUUUAUUUAAUUGGGUUUAAGAUUUGGGCUAAGAUUAUUUGGGUUUUAAUUAAUUACUGGGUCUUUGUAUUUAUGGAUUGUGAACAAUUUUUAAACUGUAUUUUAUUUUUUAUUUGGCUUAUUUAUUUGUUGUAAAUAAAUUUAAAGGCCCGGGAAGAUUGGGCCUCCUACAGGAUCCUUUAUUCAUUUAUCCAACUUCAAGUUGGAUUAAAUUUGUGGAAAUAGAAUGAUUGAAAUUAUAUAAAUGAGAAUUAGAGUUAUGGCCACAACUAAUGCCAACUAUUUCCUAGGACAAGGAAACAAUGUCAAAAAAGCAUGUUGUAAAAUAGACAUUUGUACAUGUUAGCCUUUGAUUUGAUUAUAUAUUUGAGAUUCAAUCUCUAAUUUAUGAUGAUAAAUGUGAGAGAAAAUAAUUUUCUUCUCUUAGUAGUACUACAAAUUAGAAUGAGUUUCAACCCUAUUAUUAGACACUGAUAAGUUUU